CCAACUUUUCCAUGCCAUAGGGAACCACAUAGUUACCAUCCAUUCCAGUUUUAGGACCAAUUUGUGUGUUCCGAUCUCCUUCUCCGCUUGUAAAUACUCCCGCAUUCCCAUCUAAAGGAUCCCAUUUGCAUGGAGAGAAUGUGCAGUCCUUCACAUAUAAUGUUGUGUAGUGGUUGAUUCCUAUGAAAUCCAAUUUGUUCUGCAACUUUAUUUUUUCUUUAGGGGUAAAUAUUGGUAACCUCGAAGCUAGGACUUGACGCAUCACGGCCGGAUAAUCGCCAAAAAAUAGAGGAUCUAGAAACCAUUCAUUUUCGAAAGAUAAAACCCGUUUUGCUGCCAAAACAUCUUCUUCCACAUUCCUCAUUGGCUCGUACCAUUUGCAAGAAACCACAAUCCCGAUAGAACCUCCCUGUCUCUCCUGAUAAUUUCUUUUAUAAAUAUCAACAGCGGUUGCAUGUGCUAGAAUUAUAUUGUGAGCAGCAACAUAUGGUUCGGUUAAAGAAGAAUCUCCGACGGAGCAAUUUCCAUUUGGGACAGAGCAACGGCCUGGAGGAUGUUCUCCGGUGACAUAACCAUACAUUGUCAUGAUGUUUGGCUCAUUAAACGUGCACCAAUAUUUUACUCUGUCACCAAAAGCUUGGAAACAUACUUCUGCAAAGUAUGCAA
rnacentral:misc_RNA from 1 species